rnacentral:rRNA from 1 species
GAUGAACGCUGUCUACAGGCUUAACACAUGCAAGUCGAGGGGAAACGACGGGGAAGCUUGCUUCCCCGGGCGUCGACCGGCGCACGGGUGAGUAACGCGUAUCCAACCUGCCUCUGACUGAGGGAUAACCCGUCGAAAGUCGGCCUAAUACCUCAUGGCAUCGUCUGCGGGCAUCCAACGACGAUUAAAGAUUUCAUCGGUCAGGGAUGGGGAUGCGUCUGAUUAGCUUGUUGGCGGGGUAACGGCCCACCAAGGAUACGAUCAGUAGGGGUUCUGAGAGGAAGGGCCCCCACAGUUGAACUGAGACACGGUCCACACGACUACGGGAGGCAGCCGUCGGGAAGCAUGGUCGAGGGACGGGGGCCUGACCCAGCCAAGUAGCGUGCAGGAGGCCGGGCCUAGGAGUUGUAAACUGCUUUUAGACGGGGAUAUCGUGAGGGACGAGUCCUUUAUUGAAGGUACCGAAUGAAUAAGCACCGGCUAACUACGUG